CAUGGUUCGAAAUUGAAAGGCGGCUUCGGCUGUCACUUAUGGAUGGACCCGCGUCGCAUUAGCUAGUUGGUGAGGUAACGGCUCACCAAGGCAACGAUGCGUAGCCGACCUGAGAGGGUGAUCGGCCACACUGGGACUGAGACACGGCCCAGACUCCUACGGGAGGCAGCAGUAGGGAAUCUUCCGCAAUGGACGAAAGUCUGACGGAGCAACGCCGCGUGAGUGAUGAAGGCUUUCGGGUCGUAAAACUCUGUUGUUAGGGAAGAACAAGUGCUAGUUGAAUAAGCUGGCACCUUGACGGUACCUAACCAGAAAGCCACGGCUAACUACGUGCCAGCAGCCGCGGUAAUACGUAGGUGGCAAGCGUUAUCCGGAAUUAUUGGGCGUAAAGCGCGCGCAGGUGGUUUCUUAAGUCUGAUGUGAAAGCCCACGGCUCAACCGUGGAGGGUCAUUGGAAACUGGGAGACUUGAGUGCAGAAGAGGAAAGUGGAAUUCCAUGUGUAGCGGUGAAAUGCGUAGAGAUAUGGAGGAACACCAGUGGCGAAGGCGACUUUCUGGUCUGUAACUGACACUGA
rnacentral:rRNA from 1 species